UACGUAGGGACCAAGCGUUGUUCGGAUUUACUGGGCGUAAAGGGCGCGUAGGCGGCAAUUCAAGUCAUCUGUGAAAUCUCCGGGCUUAACUCGGAACGGUCAGAUGAUACUGCUUUGCUAGAGUGCAGAAGGGGCAAUCGGAAUUCUUGGUGUAGCGGUAAAAUGCGUAGAUAUCAAGAGGAACACCUGAGGUGAAGACGGGUUGCUGGGCUGACACUGACGCUGAGGCGCGAAAGCCAGGGGAGCAAACGGG
rnacentral:rRNA from 1 species